rnacentral:rRNA from 1 species
UGCAGUCGAGCGAACAGAUGGGAGCUUGCUCCCUGGCGGACGGGUGAGUAACACGUGGGUAACCUGCCUGUAAGACUGGGAUAACUCCGGGAAACCGGGGCUAAUACCGGAUGGUUGUCUGAACCGCAUGGUUCAACAUAAAAGGUGGCUUCGGCUACCACUUACAGAUGGACCCGCGGCGCAUUAGCUAGUUGGUGAGGUAACGGCUCACCAAGGCAACGAUGCGUAGCCGACCUGAGAGGGUGAUCGGCCACACUGGGACUGAGACACGGCCCAUACUCCUACGGGAGGCAGCAGUAGGGAAUCUUCCGCAAUGGACGAAAGUCUGACGGAACAACGCCGCGUGAGUGAUGAAGGUUUUCGGAUCGUAAAGCUCUGUUGUUAGGGAAGAACAAGUGCCGUUCAAAUAGGGCGGCACCUUGACGGUACCUAACCAGAAAGCCACGGGCUAACUACGUGCCAGCAGCCGCGGUAAUACGUAGGUGGCAAGCGUUGUCCGGAAUUAUUGGGCGUAAAGGGCUCGCAGGCGGCUUCUUAAGUCUGAUGUGAAAGCCCCCGGCUCAACCGGGCGAGGGUCAUUGGUAAACUGGGGGAACUUGCAGUGCAGAAGAGGAGAGUGGAAUUCCACGUGUAGCGGUGAAAUGCGUAAGAUGUGGGAGGAACACCAGUGGCCGAAGGCGACUCUCUGGGUCUGUAACUGACGCCUGAGGAGCGAAAAGCGUGGGGGAGCGAACGGGAUUAGAUACCCUGGUUAGUCCACGCCGUAAACGAAUGAGUGCUAAAGUGUUAGGGGGGUUUCCGCCCCCUUAGUGCUGCAGCCAACCGCAUUAAGGCACUCCGGCCUGGGGGAGUACUGGUCGCAAGGACUGAAAACUCAAAAGGAAUUUGACGGGGGGCCCCGCACAAAGCCGUUGGAACCAUGUUGGUUUUAAUUUCGAAAGCAACGCCGAAAAAACCUUUACCAGGGCUUUGACAUCCCUCUGAACAAUCCCUAGGAGAUUAGGACGUUCCCCUUUCGGGGGGCAGAAGUCGACCGGGUGGUUGAUGGGUUGUCCGUC